AGCUGGCCCCCAAGAGGACCCUUUCCAAGUCCCCAGCUGGGGGCCCCGCGUAGACCUGGAGUGGACACGCCCCUCCUUCCCUUCAUGAUUCGUUUGUAGCGCAGUGGCGAUGGAUGAUGAGGAUGGGAGAUGCUUACUAGACGUGAUUUGUGACCCACAGGCCCUCAAUGACUUCUUGCAUGGAUCCGAGAAGGUAAGCAUGGGCGCAGGGAGAGGCAUUCCCUGAGUGGGGGGCUGUCUAAUUGGGAGUGAGGGACAGGGAGAGACAUGUCCCUUUGAUGAGGUAGCCAUCUGCCUUGUGGCUUCUAACGCCAGGCACUGGAGUUACGGCCAUGAGCAAAACUCAUGGUAAUCCCCUGUCCUCCUGCCAUGGACACCUCCUUGGGAAACAAAGAAACCAGUCACUAAUAAAGGUAAUGGUGAAAAGGACCAUGUAGAGUAUGAUAAAAAAUAAUAAUGUCAUUUGCACAAUGAAAGAGGUUUAAAAGAAAAUAAAUGGGUCCCAGGGGCUUCUUUAGAUAGUGUGAUCAGAAAGGGUCACACGAGGGAGGUAACAUUGAAGGUGAGACCUGAAGGAUCACAGGGAGGUAGGUGGCCAGGCCCGGUGCUCCUGGCAGAGGGAAGAGCAAGUUCAAAGGUGGGAGAGAGCUUGGCAUGGUUGAGGAACAGGAAGGAGGCUGAUGGGGCCAAACUGAAGGGAAAACUAGUAGGAGGUGAGACUGUAGUAGGUAAAAGUCACCAGGUUAUGUAGGCCUGGAAGCCCGAUAGAGGAGUUGUUAUUUUUAUUCUGAAUGUGACAGGCAGCUCUGAUGGGCCCUUAAACAUGAGAAUGCCAUAUUUGAUUUGCUUCUCAGAGAACGG
rnacentral:lncRNA from 1 species